GAUGAACGCUGGCGGCGUGCCUAAUACAUGCAAGUCGAGCGAACGGACGAGAAGCUUGCUUCUCUGAUGUUAGCGGCGGACGGGUGAGUAACACGUGGAUAACCUACCUAUAAGACUGGGCUAACUUCGGGAAACCGUAGCUAAUACCGGAUAAUAUUUUGAACUGCAUGGUUCAAAAGUGAAAGACGGUCUUGCUGUCACUUAUAGAUGGAUCCGCGCUGCAUUAUCUAGUUGUUAAGGUAACGGCUUACCAAGGCAACGAUGCAUAGCCGACCUGAGAGGGUGAGCGGCCACCGUGGAACUGAGACACGGACCAGACUCCUACGGGAAGCAGCAGUAGCGGAUCUUCCGCAAUGGGCGAGAGCGUGACGGAGCAGCGCCGAGUGAGUGAUGAAGGUCUUCGGAUCGUAAUACUCUGUUCUUAGGGAAGAAGAUAUGUGUAAGUAACUGUACACGUCUUGACGGUACCGAAUCAAGAAGCAACGGCUAACUACGUG
rnacentral:rRNA from 1 species